UACGGAGGGUGCAAGCGUUAUCCGGAUUCACUGGGUUUAAAGGGUGCGUAGGUGGAUUAGUAAGUCAGCGGUGAAAUCUCCGGGCUUAACCCGGAAACUGCCAUUGAUACUAUUAGUCUUGAAUACCGUGGAGGUCAGCGGAAUAUGUCAUGUAGCGGUGAAAUGCUUAGAUAUGACAUAGAACACCAAUUGCGCAGGCAGCUGGCUACACGAGCAUUGACACUCAGGCACGAAAGCGUGGGGAUCAAACAGG
rnacentral:rRNA from 1 species